GUGCAGCAGGCGCGAAAACUUUACAAUGCUGGAAACAGCGAUAGGGGGACUUUGAGUGCCAGGAUACAAUUCUGGCUGUCGUGAUGCCUAAAAAGCAUUGCAUAGCAAGGGCCGGGCAAGACCGGUGCCAGCCGCCGCGGUAACACCGGCGGCUCGAGUGGUAACCGCUAUUAUUGGGUCUAAAGGGUCUGUAGCCGGCUGAAAAAGUCUCUUGGGAAAUUCGGUAGCUUAACUAUCGGGCUUUCAGGAGAUACUCUUCGGCUCGAGACCGGGAGAGGUGAGAGGUACUUCAUGGGUAGGG
rnacentral:rRNA from 1 species